UAGUAGAUGCACCCUGAUAACUAACUUCCCCUAGCUGGCUAACACCCACUGGGGGUUUUUUAU
rfam:Anabaena cylindrica PCC 7122, complete genome.